CCAGGCUCCUUGGGAGCCCUUCCCUGAGGCUGUGUAUGAGGAGAUUGGCUACAGCACAGCGUGGGAGAAGCAGGAGAGGUUCAGUGACUCAGGCUCCUAUUCAGAGGGGUCUUUGGCCAAGCUGCAGCCCAAGCCUGGUGACAGAGAGGAGGAGGAGAAUGGCCUGGAGUCAACAGCAGAUGUCUCUGUGCUGGCUGGAGGUGACCCACUGGAUGGCUAUGAUGAUGCCAGGGACAUUGCUAACCCUGGGCAGGAGCCUGUGUUUAGACAGGGAGCCAGGGAAAUGCCCAAGGAACCAGAA